GCAGCCUUUUGACUUUACCAUCCACUACCACCCUGGGAAGCAAAAUGGCAACGCCGACGGGUUGUCUAGACAAACAGACUUGGAGCCAUGAUUCGUGAGUACUCCUCCGAUCAUCCCCAAGCCGAUCCGUUGGGAUCAGACUGUGUAUGCCGGCUUGGUUCUGGGGGAGCAUUGUGGCAAACCUAGCCACUUGGACAUUAUUUUGUACUGUCUCUUUAAGGGUUGCCGGUAUGGGGUUCCUAUUGUAUGUUAUAGCAUGUAAUGCAAUGUUAAUAAUGUAUUGCCUGCCUGGGCUAUCUGCCGAACGCAGAUAGCUGAUUCCUUUCGUUUCACGAACGCCACCUUUGCGGGCCGUUCGGGAACCGAACAACAUAUCAUUUAAUAGCCCACACACUUAGAGGCUUGUGGCACCUAUUAACCGAUUGCAACAAUGUUGCAAUCAGUAAUUAGAGGCUCUCCUGGGUGGCCGUCG